rnacentral:rRNA from 1 species
UCCUACGGGAGGCAGCAGUAGGGAAUCUUCCGCAAUGGACGAAAGUCUGACGGAGCAACGCCGCGUGAGUGAUGAAGGCUUUCGGGUCGUAAAACUCUGUUGUUAGGGAAGAACAAGUGCUAGUUGAAUAAGCUGGCACCUUGACGGUACCUAACCAGAAAGCCACGGCUAACUACGUGCCAGCAGCCGCGGUAAUACGUAGGUGGCAAGCGUUAUCCGGAAUUAUUGGGCGUAAAGCGCGCGCAGGUGGUUUCUUAAGUCUGAUGUGAAAGCCCACGGCUCAACCGUGGAGGGUCAUUGGAAACUGGGAGACUUGAGUGCAGAAGAGGAAAGUGGAAUUCCAUGUGUAGCGGUGAAAURMGUAGAGAUAUGGAGGAACACCAGUGGCGAAGGCGACUUUCUGGUCUGUAAA